rnacentral:rRNA from 1 species
UCCUGGUGGCGAGUGGCGAACGGGUGAGUAAUGUAUCGGAACGUACCUUUCAGUGGGGGAUAACGUAGCGAAAGUUACGCUAAUACCGCAUAUUCUGUGAGCAGGAAAGCAGGGGAUCGCAAGACCUUGCGCUGAUUGAGCGGCCGAUAUCAGAUUAGCUAGUUGGUGAGGUAAAGGCUCACCAAGGCGACGAUCUGUAGCGGGUCUGAGAGGAUGAUCCGCCACACUGGAACUGAGACACGGUCCAGACUCCUACGGGAGGCAGCAGUGGGGAAUUUUGGACAAUGGGGGCAACCCUGAUCCAGCCAUGCCGCGUGAGUGAAGAAGGCCUUCGGGUUGUAAAGCUCUUUCAGCCGGGAAGAAAUCACAUGGGUUAAUACCCUGUGUGGAUGACGGUACCGGAAUAAGAAGCACCGGCUAACUACGUGCCAGCAGCCGCGGAAAUACGUAGGGUGCGAGCGUUAAUCGGAAUUACUGGGCGUAAAGCGUGCGCAGGCGGUUUGUUAAGAUAGGCGUGAAAUCCCCGGGCUCAACCUGGGAACUGCGUUUAUGACUGGCAGGCUAGAGUAUGGCAGAGGGGGGUGGAAUUCCACGUGUAGCAGUGAAAUGCGUAGAGAUGUGGAGGAACACCGAUGGCGAAGGCAGCCCCUGGGCCAAUACUGACGCUCAUGCACGAAAGCGUGGGUAGCAAACAGGAUUAGAUACCCUGGUAGUCCACGCCCUAAACGAUGUCAACUAGGUGUUGGGUGGGUAAAACCAUUUAGUACCGGAGCUAACGCGUGAAGUUGACCGCCUGGGGAGUACGGCCGCAAGGUUAGAACUCAAAGGAAUUGACGGGGACCCGCACAAGCGGUGGAUGAUGUGGAUUAACUCGAUGCAACGCGAAAAACCUUACCUACCCUUGACAUGUCCGGAAGCCCUUAGAGAUUUGGGUGUGCUCGAAAGAGAGCCGGAACACAGGUGCUGCAUGGCUGUCGUCAGCUCGUGUCAUGAGAUGUUGGGUUAAGUCCCGCAACGAGUGCAACCCUUGUCGUUAAUUGCCAUCAUUUAGUUGGGCACUUUAACGAGACUGCCGGUGACAAACCGGAGGAAGGUGGGGAUGACGUCAAGUCCUCAUGGCCCUUAUGGGUAGGGCUUCACACGUCAUACAAUGGUCGGUACAAAGGGUUGCCAACCCGCGAGGGGGAGCUAAUCCCAGAAAGCCGAUCGUAGUCCGGAUUGUAGGCUGCAACUCGCCUGCAUGAAGUCGGAAUCGCUAGUAAUCGUGGAUCAGCAUGUCACGGUGAAUACGUUCCCGGGUCUUGUACACACCGCCCGUCACACCAUGGGAGCGGGUCCCGCCAGAAGUAGGUAGCCUAACCGCAAGGAGGGCGCUUACCACGGCGGGGUUCGUGACUGGGGUGAAGUCGUAACAAGGUA